CCAAUAGCGUAUAUUAAAGUUGUUGCAGUUAAAAAGCUCGUAGUUGAAUUUCGGGAUUAGUGCGCUGGUCAUGCCUUUGGUAUGUACUGGUGUUACUGAUUUCUACCUUCUGAAGAACCGUUAUGUCAUUUAUUUGGUGUGGCGGGGAAUCAGGACUGUUACUUUGAAAAAAUUAGAGUGUUUAAAGCAGGCUCGCGCUUGAAUACAUUAGCAUGGAAUAAUGAAAUAGGACGUUUGACCCUAUUUUGUUGGUUUCUAGGAUCGACGUAAUGACUAAUAGGGAUAGUUGGGGGCAUUAGUAUUCAAUUGUCAGAGGUGAAAUUCUUGGAUUUAUUGAAGACUAACUACUGCGAAAGCAUUUGCCAAGGAUGUUUUCAUUAAUCAAGAACGAAAGUUAGGGGAUCGAAGACGAUCAGAUACCGUCGUAGUCUUAACCAUAAACUAUGCCGACUAGGGACCGGAUGAUGUUAUUUUUAAUGACUCAUUCGGCGCCUUACG
rnacentral:rRNA from 1 species